CCCUUAGAUGUCCUGGGCCGCGUGCGCGCUACACUGAUGCAUGCAACGAGUUUAUAACCUUGGCCUGAAAGGUCUGGGUAAUCUUUUGAACGUGCAUCGUGAUAGGGAUAGAUUAUUGCAAUUGUUAAUCUUGAACGAGGAAUUCCUAGUAAACGCGAGUCAUCAGCUCGCAUUGAUUACGUCCCUGCCCUUUGUACACACCGCCCGUCGCACCUACCGAUUGAAUGGUUCGGUGAAGAUCUCGGACUUCGAUAUUUAUUCUUUAUUGAGUUUAUAUUGUGGGAAGUUAUCUAAACCUCAUCAUUUAGAGGAAGGUGAAGUCGUAACA
rnacentral:rRNA from 1 species